rnacentral:sRNA from 1 species
CCGUUGCCAGCUGCUGUGCGUAAGUGUU